GAAAGAAUGCCACAUCUUGUUUCUCAACAGCCUUCGCCAUCAAUGCAUUGUCGCACCUCGACUUCAUCCUUUUUCUUCUCCAUCCACACUUUCUAAGCCUUUUCUUUAUUCUCUUCUUCAAAUCUGCUCCCUUUCCCUUUUCCUUUCCCAUUAUCUUUUGUUAUGUACAGAUUUUGUUGUGGAGGUUUGACAAUUAGAGUUUGGGCAAUAUGACAAUGAA
rnacentral:misc_RNA from 1 species